CACCUACAAACUUGAAAUUUGGCAAAUAGGCUCCUUUUAGAGCGUAAACAUUCGCUAAGAAUGGGUUUUACGAAAUUCGACCCCUAAGUGGGUAAAAAGGGGGUUGGAAGUUUGUAUGAAAGUCCUAUGUUUUUGAAGUAAGAGACUUGAAAUUUAAAAUGUACGCUCUUUAGAUAGUGAGAUGGUGUCCAAAUAAUGUAUCUUUAGAAGUCAACUCCUUUUUGGGGUUAAAACGGGGAAUGGUAGGUUGACUCCCUCAUUACGAAAUCUCCGAAACUAUAACAGCUAAAAACUUGAAAUUUGGCAAG
rnacentral:misc_RNA from 1 species